rnacentral:rRNA from 1 species
CCGAUGAGGUGGAAACGGACAGAGCUGGCGUAUCUGGCUUGCAUUCAGCCGCUGCGCGUCGGGCCCCGGUUUGCCGCACUCCAGAUUGGGAAGGUGGCUGGGCUGCUGGCGUGCUGGUGGUGCAUUUGCAGGUGGAGUGCGCCGAGGCGCCCGGUUCAGCGGCAUGAGCUCGGCUUUGAGGCCAGUCGCGCAAGCGGUCUGGUACCCGGGUCGGGGGAGUGUUGUUUGGGCUGGGUGUUCGCUUGGGCACAGGUUUCGGGCCCGGGUGGGUGCCGAGCUGGCGGUCGGCGGCGGUCGCGUGCGACACGUGCCAGCAGUCAGUUCGGUCCUGCUCGAGCUCUCUCGCGUCCGGCCUCGGUGUAAAAGCCGGUCAUCUGUCCGACCCGUCUUGAAACACGGACCAAGGAGUUUAGCGUGUGCGCGAGUCAUUGGGUGUUGAAAACCCAGAGGCGUAAUGAAAGUGAAGGUCUGCCUUGUGCAGCUGAUGUGUGAUCCUGGGCGCCGCGGUGCCCGGGCGCAACAUAGUCCCGUCCCGACUGCAUGCAGUGGGGCGGAGACAGAGCGUACGCGCUGAG